rnacentral:rRNA from 1 species
GAUGAACGCUGGCGGCGUGCUUAACACAUGCAAGUCGAACGAAGCACUUUAUUUGAUUUCCUUCGGGACUGAUUAUUUUGUGACUGAGUGGCGGACGGGUGAGUAACGCGUGGGUAACCUGCCUUGUACAGGGGGAUAACAGUUGGAAACGGCUGCUAAUACCGCAUAAGCGCACGGCAUCGCAUGAUGCAGUGUGAAAAACUCCGGUGGUAUAAGAUGGACCCGCGUUGGAUUAGCUAGUUGGUGAGGUAACGGCCCACCAAGGCGACGAUCCAUAGCCGACCUGAGAGGGUGACCGGCCACAUUGGGACUGAGACACGGCCCAAACUCCUACGGGAGGCAGCAGUGGGGAAUAUUGCACAAUGGGCGAAAGACUGAUGCAGCGACGCCGCGUGAGCGAAGAAGUAUUUCGGUAUGUAAAGCUCUAUCAGCAGGGAAGAUAAUGACGGUACCUGACUAAGAAGCACCGGCUAAAUACGUG